CGGCUAAGUCCGUGCCAGUAGCCGUGGGAAUCCGGAAGGUUCGAGCGUUACUGCGAAGUUCGUGGCGUAAAGCUGGCGCAAGCGGUUUGUUAAGCGAGAUGUGAAAGCCCUGGGCUCAACCUAGGAAUAGCAUUUCGAACUGGCGAACUAGAGUCUUGUAGAGGGGGGUAGAAUUCCAGGUGUAGCGGUGAAAUGCGUAGAGAUCUGGAGGAAUACCGGUGGCGAAGGCGGCCCCCUGGACAAAGACUGACGCUCAGGUGCGAAAGCGUGGGGAGCAAACAGGAUUAGAUACCUUGUAGUC
rnacentral:rRNA from 1 species